CCAAUAGCGUAUAUUAAAGUUGUUGCAGUUAAAAAGCUCGUAGUUGAAUUUUUGAUUCUGCCAAUUGGUCCAUCUUUUAGAUGAGUACUGGUUGUGUGGGGUCUAUCCGCCUGGUGAUACGUAAUGUCCUUUAUUGGAUGUUGCGGGUAGUCAGGACCUUUACCUUGAAAAAAUUAGAGUGUUUAAAGCAGGCUUAUGCCGGAAUACAUUAGCAUGGAAUAAUAGAAUAGGACGAAGUUGUUUUAUUUUGUUGGUUUCUAGGACAACCGUAAUGAUUAAUAGGGAUAGUGGGAGGCAUUAGUAUUCAAUUGUCAGAGGUGAAAUUCUUGGAUUUAUUGAAGACUAACUACUGCGAAAGCAUUUGCCAAGGAUGUUUUCAUUAAUCAAGAACGAAAGUUAGGGGAUCGAAGACGAUCAGAUACCGUCGUAGUCUUAACCAUAAACUAUGCCGACUAGGGAUCGGGCGAUGUUGUUUCCAUGACUCGCUCGGCACCUUAUGGGAAACCAAAGUGUUGGGUUC
rnacentral:rRNA from 1 species